rnacentral:rRNA from 1 species
GAUGAACGCUGGCGGCGUGCCUAAUACAUGCAAGUCGAGCGAACGGACGAGAAGCUUGCUUUUCUGAUGUUAGCGGCGGACGGGUGAGUAACACGUGGAUAACCUACCUAUAAGACUGGGAUAACUUCGGGAAACCGGAGCUAAUAUCGGAUAAUAUUUUGAACCGCAUGGUUCAAAAGUGAAAGACGGUCUUGCUGUCACUUAUAGAUGGAUCCGCGCUGCAUUAGCUAGUUGGUAAGGUAACGGCUUACCAAGGCAACGAUGCAUAGCCGACCUGAGAGGGUGAUCGGCCACACUGGAACUGAGACACGGUCCAGACUCCUACGGGAGGCAGCAGUAGGGAAUCUUCCGCAAUGGGCGAAAGCCUGACGGAGCAACGCCGCGUGAGUGAUGAAGGUCUUCGGAUCGUAAAACUCUGUUACUAGGGAAGAACAUAUGUGUAAGUAACUGUGCACAUCUUGACGGUACCUAAUCAGAAAGCCACGGCUAACUACGUG